GCUUAGAGAGGGGUCAAUGUCCUAUCAGCUAGUUGGUCGGGUAAUGGCCUACCAAGGCUAAGACGGGUAGCCGGCCUGAGAGGGUGGUCGGCCACACUGGGACUGAGACACUGCCCAGACUCCUACGGGAGGCUGCAGUCGAGAAUCUUUCGCAAUGCCCGAAAGGGUGACGAAGCGACGCCGCGUGUGGGAAGAAGGCCUUCGGGUUGUAAACCACUGUCGGGAGUUAAGAAAUGCAAGGGUGUUAAUAGCAUCCUUGCUUGACUAAGGCUCCGGAGGAAGCCACGGCUAACUCUGUGCCAGCAGCCGCGGUAAUACAGAGGCGGCAAGCGUUGUUCGGAAUUAUUGGGCGUAAAGAGCACGUAGGCGGCUUUGUAAGUCAGUUGUGAAAGCCUUCUGCUCAACGGAAGAACAGCAUCUGAUACUGCAAGGCUAGAGUGCGGAAGGG
rnacentral:rRNA from 1 species